rnacentral:snoRNA from 1 species
UCUUAAUGAUGAACAACAAGAAGAAUUCUGCAAUGCAGACAAUCUCCGUGCAUUUCUCUCGGGUCUUGCUUUGUGAGAUUGGUUGUUGACUCUUCUACACUUGAUCUGACA